AGAGUUUGAUCCUGGCUCAGAACGAACGCUGGCGGCGCGUCUUAACCAUGCAAGUCGAGCGGCAGGCAGCAAUGCCGAGAGCGGCGGACUGGUGAGUAACACGUGGAUAACGUACCCCGAUGCCCGGGACAGCCUGUAGAAAUAGAGGGUAAUACCGGAUAGGUCACCGUUUUUGUAAGGAAGACGGCGGGAAAGGAGCUUCGGCUCCGCGCUGGGAUCGGUCUGCGGCCCAUCAAGCUCGUUGGUGAGGUAAGAGCUCACCAAGGCGAGGACGGGUAUCCGGCCUGAGAGGGCGGACGGACACAUUGGGACUGAGAUACGGCCCAGACUCCUACGGGAGGCAGCAGGUAAGAAUAUUCCGCAAUGGGGGGAACCCUGACGGAGCGACGCCGCGUGAACGAAGAAGGCCGGAAGGUUGUAAAGUUCUUUUCUGUCCGAGGAAUAAGUGUUGGAGGAAAUGCCGACAUGGUGACGGUAGGGCAGGAAUAAGCACCGGCUAAUUACGUGCCAGCAGCCGCGGUAACACGUAAGGUGCGAGCGUUGUUCGGAAUUAUUGGGCGUAAAGGGCAUGCAGGCGGGUCGCCAAGCUUGGUAAGAAAUACCGGGGCUCAACUCCGGAGCUAUAUUGAGAACUGGCGAGCUAGAGUUGCCGAAGGGUAUCCGGAAUUCCGCGUGAAGGGGUGAAAUCUGUAGAUAUGCGGAAGAACACCGAUGGCGAAGGCAGGAUACCGGCGGACGACUGACGCUGAGGUGCGAAGGUGCGGGGAGCAAACAGGAUUAGAUACCCUGGUAGUCCGCACAGUCAACGAUGUACACUGGGCGUGUGCGCAAGAGCGUGCGUGCCGAAGCAAACGCGAUAAGUGUACCGCCUGGGGAGUAUGCCCGCAAGGGUGAAAC
rnacentral:rRNA from 1 species